rnacentral:tRNA from 1 species
UGGAGGUAUGGGGAAUUGAACCCCAGCCCUCUCCCAUGCUAAGGGGGCUCUACCACUGAGCUAUACCCCC